rnacentral:rRNA from 1 species
UACGUAGGUGGCAAGCGUUGUCCGGAAUUAUUGGGCGUAAAGCGCGCGCAGGCGGUCCUUAAGUCUGAUGUGAAAGCCCACGGCUCAACCGUGGAGGGUCAUUGGAAACUGGGGGACUUGAGUACAGAAGAGGAAAGCGGAAUUCCACGUGUAGCGGUGAAAUGCGUAGAGAAUGUGGAGGAACACCAGUGGCGAAGGCGGCUUUCUGGUCUGAUAACUGACGCUGAGGCGCGAAAGCGUGGGGAGCAAACAGGAUAG